UUUAUCUCAAGUUUAUUUUGAAUUCGAUAAAUUUUCUAGCGGUAUACUAAACGUUGACACCAUUUUAAUUUUGCAACACGUGAUCCGACUUCGCAGAAGAAAUAUACUUUCGAUUUGUGAUAACGCCCACUGUUUCUGUUUAGAUAAUUACAUUUGGAGGUUCAUAGGAGCUUAAUAAAACGAGAUAACCGUUUUUUUCUGCAUUCACAAAUAGAAGAAUGACGGCUAUAGACGCAAUAGACAAAAUAGAACCAGGCGAUGGCAUUGUCUUCAAAUACUGGGGAAAAGAUCAUGAAGGAAUUGUUACCAGCGUCACAAUGGAUCCCAUAGAUCACAGAGUUGGAAUAAUCUAUAUAAUUCAUUACGCCUACAAAUUUCCGACUACAAAAACAAUAAUAGAUGAACGCUUUGUUUUCAAUCUUAGUCUACAAACAAUAAGAAAGAAAGUUUACAAGAUUGACGUGAAAUUAUUUGAUUUAGCCACCGUUGUAGAACGUGCAAGGGUGCGAUUAGGCGAAGGUCGCCAUGACAGAAGAAACAACAACUCUCGUCAUUUAGUAGAAUGGGCAAAGGUUGGCAAUGAUAGCGGAAUGCUUGUUGUGGACACAUACCUACACACCAACGGUAGCUUUUUGCGCAUAUACAACGCGUAUGCCUGGUCGGAUAUAGAAACGGGAUGUAUUCUCGAAUAUACAUAUCACGGGUUUAAACACCAUAGUGUGGUUACUAAGAUAUAUAAAGAGGCCGACAGAAUACAAGUGAUUCAUUAUGGUUUUGCCCAUAUAGUUGGUACGCAAAGUGUCGUGCAGGAAGUCAUACAACUUGAUUUCAAAACAGACAACAUAAGGAUAUAUCGGUGUGUCCCAGCAUUCACCCACAAUGAACCAGACGUUGUUGUAGAAAAAGCAAAAGGAAGACUCGGUGAGCAAAGAUGGAGCAUUGCUACCAACUCAGGCUUGACAUUCUGCAUGUGUUGUCUGUUCAACUAAAUUAAAGGAAUGAGCAGGAUAACCAUGCAUGUAUAUAAGGUAUCGGAUACAGUACAUUAUAGAUAAGGUUGUUACGAAUUUACAGAUGGGUAUUAAUAAAAAGGGUUUCCUGAACCAUAUACAUCUAUUCGCCAGCCAAAAAAGAAUGGUUUAAUUCAACAGCGAGCUUACCAUUCAACUCAUACAACAAUUGCAUAUAGCAGUGCAUGUUUCCUUAAAGAGGAAUUUAUUAACAGACAUAAAUUAUUAAAAACAUAAAAAGUGUAUACACACAAGAGUAAUCUUGCAUGGUAUGUGGAUGUGUGAAGUUUGAAGUUUACUUCAAUUAUGCUACAAAGAGUAGGUCGAGAAAUAUUCCAACUUAACGUGAAAAUACAGUUUCUGGACUUUUCCACGAUAUAACAGUUACCCACACGGUGAAAAAAAAAGAAAAAGAAAUAUAAUACUUUAAAAACUUAACAUUAUGAAACGGCCAAUAUUGCGUCAGCUGUGCAGAUUUUUGCGUUUGGUUAUACUUGCAAUAUAGACAGAUAUACUGUUAACUGUUGUGUCAAAACGUUUGACAAUAUGUGUGAGUGAGAAAUAAUGGAAUAACCUGUUGGUUAUUAUGAUAUAAUUACAAGCAUCCGUACGUCAAACCGUUAUUAAACCGACAACAUACAUAAAAAUUCAACCCGUAUUAAUAUAUAAUUAUGGUCAUUCCAAGGGUUAUUUAAGGAAACUGAAAAGUGUGUUCUUUUGCGCAAAAAAUACACGAGUGCUUUUCAGCGAUGUCAACAAGCCAAUAAUAAAACGCUCAGCUAAUUACUUAUUUUGUAUUGUAAAUACUGUAAACAUCUUCUCAAAUGCUGAUGCUUACAAUUUGUAAUGUUAUUAGAAGGUAAAUGAACAAAACGUUAAACAACGUCCUGUAGGCAAAUGUCACAUAUUUGCAAAAACAAAUGUCAAUGACGAUUAUUACGAAGAGUUAAUUUCACAGAUAAAGCGUUCUAAACGUUAACUAACACAUGCAUUUUAAGUUCCCACCUCUCUUGAUAAUGCUGGUCUUCACUGUUGAUGUUUCUGCCGAUUUAUACACAUGUCAAACGUUGUUGAUUCUGCAAAGACAAUAGUGCAGUAAAGUCAAGGUCACGAGCAGUAAUUUAAAAAUGUUGAUUCAGGAAAUACACAUGAAUGUACAUAGCUUUUUUAUUGGUUUAAUUCAAUUUUUAACAACUGAAUAAUUUGAAUGAUUCCUUUUUUAAAAAAUCAUUUUUGGCGUCUGUAUAUUUUUGAUUACUCUGAAUCUUAAUGAAAUUAUGUACAAUUUGUUAUAAUUUAAAUUACCUUUUAAUUGCUACAAUUUGGAACGGUACAUUGGCUAUUGUUUCAAAGCCACUAAAAGUCAUAUUGUGCGUUAAUCAGGGGGAUCCAAAUAUGUAUGAUUGUAUAUUUUGCAUAUACGAAUUUGACAUAAUAGAUUGUUAUGAUUCAAUAAAUCUUAUGAUCAGCGUCAUUGGAUGCAUUUGUGCAAUACUAUCCGCGAUUAAAUUUCUUGUUUUAAAAUUGACAAAUUCAUUUAAAUUGUUCUGUCAUUAGAUAACUGCACUUAUGUCAAAAUAGAUAUUUUCCAAUAUGCAUAUCAGUACGCGUAGACAAUCUGAAUCUGUCUCAUUAUAGUAACAUUGCGGAGAAAAAUAUAUUAAAGCCGUAUAAGGUUUUACAAUGCCACUCUUGGCACUGCAAUGCGGAUGUUAUAUUUUUAAUUAGAAACAACCUGUUUCUAAGUGUCACUAUCUCAAGGUGUUUAAAUUCCUUUUCAGUUAGCUAAUAUGUAUUUGCAGAGCGCUAUAAUUUGUGCGAUGGAUUUCUGUCUCAUGAUAAAUUGUGCACAAUAAUUGUAAUUAUAGUAAUAAGAAUAUAAACAACAAUCGAUGUGUUUGUAAAACACUAUGUCCCUAUAUAUUUGACCUUUGACCUUGAAGGAUGACCUUGACCUUAAUCUUUCACCACUCACAAUGUGCAGCUCCAUGAGAUACACAUGCAUACCACAUAUCAAGUUGCUGUCUUCAAUAUUGAAAAAGUGUAAAUUAAAUUAGCGAGUUUGACCCAUAUAGUUGACCUUUGACCUUGAAGGAUGACCUUGACCUUGACGUUACACCACUCAAAAUGUGCAGCUCUAUGAGAUACACAUGCAUGUCAAAUAUGAAGUUGCUAUCUUCAAUAUUGCAAAAGUUGUUGCAAAUGUUAAAGUUUACACAAACAAACACACAAACCAACCAACCAACAAACCAACCAACAGACAGGGCAAAAACAAUAUGUCCCCCACUAUAGUGGUGGGGGACAUAAAAAGAGAUCUCUCGCAUCAUCACUGACGCAAACGUUUCAUUGAGCCAAUUUAAUAUAACAUGCACGAGCGCGUGUAGGAGAUAAAGAGCAAUAUGAUAAGCGUUACAAAAUAUAGCGUCAUUUAUUGGACAUGGUGGAAUGACAACGCAACACAAUGGUAGCAGGAUUUGUUAAUAUAUCUUGGAUAUUUCGGUUCGAAGUGUCUUUUCUACUUAUACAGUCUAAGUAAAAAUAGUACCAGACAAUUUUAUUGUCGUUAUAUGACUGGUUUGAACGCAUUUCAAUCGAUUAGGAGCAUGAUUUGUACUCCAAGCAAAUGUUUUCGUAGAAGAACAUGUAUGUUUUUAAAUGAUCUAUAACGAUGCACAUUUGGUGUUAUGUUGCGAUUGUUUUCUUGGCAUUUUUGCCUUAAAAACAAUAUUAAUUUUGUUUAAAAAAUCUAAGAAUAAUUUUCAAUAUGUCAUCUUUUCCACCAUAAUUUUAUUUUAUAUAAUUUACCGCUGCUAUUCACUAUACAUAAUGUUUGGUAAUGCCAAUAAAAAUUACAAGGUUA